CGAUAACGAACGAGACCUUAACCUGCUAAAUAGCCCGUACUGCUUUGGCAGUUCGCUGGCUUCUUAGAGGGACUAUCGGCUCAAGCCGAUGGAAGUUUGAGGCAAUAACAGGUCUGUGAUGCCCUUAGAUGUCCUGGGCCGCACGCGCGUUACACUGACAGGGCCAGCGAGUACCUCCUUGGCCGAAAGGCCCGGGUAAUCUUGUUAAACCCUGUCGUGCUGGGGAUAGAGCAUUGCAAUUAUUGCUCUUCAACGAGGAAUCCCUAGUAAGCGCAAGUCAUCAGCUUGCGUUGAUUACGUCCCUGCCCUUUGUACACACCGCCCGUCGCUACUACCGAUUGAAUGGC
rnacentral:rRNA from 1 species